rfam:Micromonospora rifamycinica strain AM105 contig251, whole genome shotgun sequence.
GCGGACGUAGCGCAGCUGGUAGCGCAUCACCUUGCCAAGGUGAGGGUCGCGG